ACGUACACAGCAAAAUCACCAGUGUUAAAUUUUCAGGGAUGGUGUUAAAUACACAGUGUUGAUGCUGUUUUAACACUAUCUGGUAAUAAAAUAACACUGCCAUUGCUAGGCCAGUGUUAUAUCCACGACAGUGUCAGUGUAAAACAAGGGUGUUAUCAGAUUUCACUCUGAGCGGUGUAAAUCAAGCCACGCCUCCACUAAACAUUUCCUGUCAGGGAUUUUACCGCCAUUUUCUUUCAAAGGAGGACUGAAGAGAGCAGAUGCUAGUUUGGUGAAAAUACACACUGAGUGCUUCAAAUCAUUCAGAAGAGAUGCUGUUUUUAGGGCAGUUUAUUAAAGAAGACCUGACAUGGAUGACUUCCAAUGAGAAACGACUGCUACUUAUAUAAAUUCAUUACAGAAGGACCCUACCAGACUAUAUUUGAAUACGGCAUACCCAUGAAUUCUGGAACUGUUAUUCCUUAACCCAGUUUGGAGGAUAAGAGCUUACCAACUAGUUAUAAAUAUGCUGAGGCGAUGUAUUGCCGAAUAGCCAACAUACAACAAUUAAAGGAUAAUUUCAGACUAUAUCCUGAUGAAGAUAUGGAUGACCCUCUGUCUGGUCAACAGGAGUUUAAAUAUGGAUGGGACAGUUAUGUGGCAGCUCUUCCCUGGCUCAUUCACCUCUUGCCUUCAUUUGUGAAAGGAAGAAAGACUGGAGAGGGUCAAUGUGCAACUGAAGCUACUGAUUGUGCUGUGUAAGUUUUUUGGUAUUUUGUUCUAGUUAUUUAUUCAGCAGUUAGUUUGCUUGCAUUGUUCACCCCAUGUAAAUGCAUACAAGUUCAUAAAUACACAUCAAAUACAUUCAUCAAAUACACUCUUUUAAAACACUUAGGUGAUGAGCAUCAAUCCAUGCUUUGAGGGGGAUGAAUCACAGCCCUGCCUGCUCUGUGUUGGGAACAAAAGUUGCAUCCAGAAUUUUUGCAUCAUUCUGGACCAAAAAGCCAUUCCCUGCAUGAUGAAGACCACUGAUGCAGCCUUCCACUACUGUACAUCAUGAGUAAAACAACUACAGAACUAAAUACCAGGUUGGAACGUGUUUAAGAAAAAUGAAACGUCUUUUGAAUUGAAAUGUCUUGUUAUGGAAAAAUCGUUAGUUUUGUGAAGGAUAAGCAUUUCUGCUUGCCGAUAAGGUAAUUGCAUGUAUUUUAAUGUUCAAGUUUUGAGUAGGGUGGCUAAUUUUUUUUAACUCUCAUUUGAUUUAUUAAAGACCUUAUAAUAAGUGGUUUUCAUGUCACUGCGCUGUGGUAUAAGAUAACUUUCAUUAUUCCAUACUGUAUUCUGUUUCUAAUUGUAGCUGAGGUAUUUAAAUAAGCAGUGUUAAAUGCAAAGUGUUGUGUGUAUCAAUGUAAAUAUUAAAUGUGAUGUACUUUAAUAAAAAGAGGUUUUGCAAUA